GCUGGGUAUGGUGGCACAGACCUAUAAUCCCAGCAGCUCUGGAGGCUGAGGCAGGAGGAUUGCAAGUUCAAAGCCAGCCUCAGUAAAAGCAAGGCACUAAGCAACUCAGUGAGACCCUGUCUCUA
rnacentral:sRNA from 1 species